CACGUGGGGUCCGAGCGUUGUCCGGAAUUACUGGGCGUAAAGCGUGCGCAGGCGGUUGGGUCAGUCGCUGGUGAAAGCCCCACGCUCAACGUGGGAAUGGCCAACGAGACGGCCCGACUGGAGGCAGGGAGAGGCCGGUGGAAUUCCGGGUGUAGUGGUGAAAUGCGUAGAGAUCCGGAGGAACACCAGAGGCGAAGGCGGCCGGCUGGACCUGACCUGACGCUCAUGCACGAAAGCGUGGGGAGCAAACAGG
rnacentral:rRNA from 1 species